rnacentral:rRNA from 1 species
GACGAACGCUGGCGGCGUGCUUAACACAUGCAAGUCGAACGGAAAGGCCCUGCUUUUGUUGGGUUCUCGAGUGGCGAACGGGUGAGUAACACGUGAGUAACCUGCCCUUGACUUUCGGAUAACUUCAGGAAACUGGGGCUAAUACCGGAUAGGAGCUCCUGCUGCAUGGUGUGGGUUGGAAAGUUUCGGCGGUUGGGGAUGGACUCGCGGCUUAUCAGCUUGUUGGUGGGGUAGUUGCUUACCAAGGCUUUGACGGGUAGCCGGCCUGAGGGGGUGACCGGCCACAUUGGGACUGAGAGACGGCCCAGACUGCUACGGGAGGCAGCAGUGGGGAAUAUUGCACAAUGGGCGGAAGCCUGAUGCAGCAACGCCGCGUGCGGGAUGACGGCCUUCGGGUUGUAAACAGAUUUCGCCUGUGACGAAGCGUGAGUGACGGUAAUGGGUAAAGAAGCACCGGCUAACUACGUG